AUUGAACGCUGGCGGCAGGCUUAACACAUGCAAGUCGAGCGAGCGGCGGACGGGUGAGUAAUGUCUGGGACACUGCCUGAUGGAGGGGUAUAACUACUGGAAACGGUAGCUAAUCCCGCAUACCAUCAGAUGUGCCCAGAUGGGAUUAGCUAGUAGGUGGGGUAAUGGCUAACCUAGGCGACGCUCCCUAGCUGGUCUGAGAGGAGGACCAGCCACACUGGAACUGGGACACGGUCCAUACUCCUACGGGCGGCAGCAGUGGGGAAUAUGGCACAAUGGGCGCGAGCCUGAUGCAGCCAUGCCGCGUGUAUGAAGAAGGCCUUCGGGUUGUAAAGUACUUUCAGCGGGGAGGCGUUACCCGCAGAAGAAGCACCGGCUAACUCCGUGCCAGCAGCCGCGGUAAUAC
rnacentral:rRNA from 1 species